UCCAGAGAGACCUGGGUUUGAGCCCUACCACGCUCAUUGAGAUGAAUGGCAUCAGGCUUUUCGGCAGGCAUCUUCAGCAGCGUAAAAGUGCCCUCUGCCCGAGGAGAUGCUCAGCUACGCCCGGGAUGACACCCAUUACCUGCUAUAUAUCUAUGACAAAAUGAGGCUGGAGAUGUGGGAGCGCGGCAACGGGCAGCCCGUGCAGCUGCAGGUGGUGUGGCAACGGAGCAGGGACAUCUGCCUCAAGAAAUUCAUCAAACCUAUCUUCACGGAUGAGUCCUACCUUGAACUCUAUAGGAAGCAGAAGAAGCACCUUAACACACAGCAGUUGACAGCCUUUCAGCUGCUGUUUGCCUGGAGGGAUAAAACAGCUCGCAGGGAAGAUGAAAGUUACGGGUAAGGGAUUAGAGGUUCUUUUAAUACUUGUUUCCAGACUGAGGAGAUCUAAUAACAAGUAAA
rnacentral:sRNA from 1 species